UACUAGUAAUCGCAGAUCAGAAUGCUGCGGUGAAUGCGUUCCCGGGUCUUGUACACACCGCCCGUCACACCACGGGAGUUGGAGACGCCCGAAGCCGAUUAUCUAACCUUUUGGAAGAAGUCGUCGAAGGUGGAAUCAAUAACUGGGGUGAAGUCGUAACAAGGUAGCCGUAUCGGAAGGUGCGGCUGGAUCACCUCCUUUCUAAGGAGA
rnacentral:rRNA from 1 species